rnacentral:lncRNA from 1 species
UUUAUGUCUAUUGCAUUAUGCCUGAAUAAUUUUCAGUCUUUUUUUUUUUCCUCUCCUCUUGCACGCACAUGCUAAAAUAACUAGACAAAGAUGCAAGGUGGUUGCUGCAGUCCCUGUCUCUAGGACAGAACCAAGAAAGCUUGUGAUUGCAAUACCACCUUUCCUUUUUUUUUUUUUUUUCCUCCUUUUUUUUUCUUCCCUAGCCAUGCUUGGUGAUUAAACUUCCUCAGGAUGGGGAAGAAAAAGGAGCUGGAAAUGAAAUAGGGUUGAGGAAAAAUCCCAUUGCAGCAGCUGCAGCCAGUGGUGACUGCUGCCAGAUGUGCGAAGGUUCCUGGGGUCCUUGUCACUAAAAGGCAGUAUUCAAAUAUUUGGAGACAAAAGCUGCAUCCUCAGUGAUCAUUUUCUUUAUUUAACAUGGCAGCAGGCAUCGUGUGGGGAAAAAUCAACAUGCUGGAUGUUGAAUCGGACUUUUAUCCUUUCUGGGAUGAAAGGAUGUUAUCUAUCCCGUGCCAAGAGGGAACUGAGAGCAAUGAACAUAUGGCUGUUACUAUCAGCGCUGGUGUAUUUGCGGCGAUGCCUAUCAACAUCCACCAGAGAGCAGGGCAGCUCCAAAACCCACAUCUUUUAUGCUGUGGAAAUUGAUGGAGACAGCAGCACAGCCAGCUUCUUGGCCAAACAACAUGGAAUGCAGUUCAUUUCAAAGGUCAGCGCAUAUUUAAACUUGCUUCAUUACUCCCACCUUUAUGCUUGAGAUUUUCAUUUUUUUAAAAUCAGUUUACCUAGAGGUUCCUUUAGAGACAGAAAAAUGAAAGUGCUGAAUCCUAUUUUCAUUUGGGGAUAUCAAGCUUUUUAUCAAAUUAUAGAGGUGGCGUUUCAGAAUAUUUCAUAUCUGAUCAGAAGGAAAAUCCAAAAAUAAUUUUCUCUUUAUUCAAGAGUCUUUCAGCCACUGGGACUGUUUUAUUUAUUACUUAAUAUUGUGCUCCAGUCAAUCAUUUUGAAUUCAGACAGGAAAAUGGAAUUUUUAUUUUUAAAAGGAAAAAAUCCAGAGGAAAAAUGCUGUUGGAAUAAAGAAGAUUUUAUUAUUUUAAAAGUAAAAGUA